rnacentral:rRNA from 1 species
AGUCGAACGCAUUCUUCGGAAUGAGUGGCGCACGGCUGAGGAACACGUGACUAACCUACCCCGGUGUGGGGGAUAACGGGUCGAAAGACUCGCUAAUCCCGCAUACGAUUCACGCAAGUGAAGGAAAGCAGUAAUGCGCACUGGGCGGGGGUCGCGUCCCAUUAGGUUGUUGGUGUGGUAAUGGCGCACCAAGCCUGUGAUGGGUCUCUGGUCUGAGAGGACGACCAGACAGAUUGGGACUGAGACACGGCCCAAACUCCUACGGGGGGCAGCAGCAAGGAAUUUUCGGCAAUGGGCGCAAGCCUGACCGAGCAACGCCGCGUGGAGGAUGACGGCUCUUGGGUUGUAAACUCCUUUUGGGGGGGACGAUAAUGACGGUACCCUCCGAAUCAGGCCCGGCUAACUACGUGCCAGCAGCCGCGGUAAUACGUAGGGGCCAAGCGUUGUCCGGAAUUACUGGGCGUAAAGCGUGGGUAGGUGGUCGGUGAUGUGCCGCGUGAAAGCGCCGGAGUAAUGCCGGCGAGGUCGCGGUAGACACAACGACUGGAGGCUCGCAGAGGAACGUGGAAUUCCCGGUGUAGUGGUGAAAUGCGUAGAUAUCGGGAGGAACACCAGUGGCGCAAGCGGCGUUCUGGGCGAGACCUGACACUGAGCCACGACGGCGUGGGGAGCAAACAGGAUUAGAUACCCUGGUAGUCCACGCAGUAAACGAUGCAUACCAGGUGUGGGAUGGCGUUCGCGUCGUUCCGUGCCGCAGCUUACGCGAUGAGUAUGCCGCCUGGGGACUACGAGCGCAAGCUUAAAACUCAAAGGAAUUGAC